UCCUUGGUGGUCCAGUGGUUAAAACUCUGUACUUCCACUGCAGGGGGCCCAGGUUCAAUCCCUGGUCAGGGAA